CUUGGGAGUUMAUUUAAGAUUGAACCUGCCCACUGAAAAAUUUUAAAGGGCCGCGGUAUUUUGACCGUGCAAAGGUAGCAUAAUCAAUAGUCUUUUAAUUGAAGGCUGGAAUGAAUGGUUUGACGAGAUAGUAACUGUCUUAGUUUAAAUAAUUAAAAUUUUAUUUUUAAGUUAAAAAGCUUAAAUUUUUGAAAGGGACGAGAAGACCCUAUAGAUUUUUAUAAUAAAUAAUAAAGUUAAAAAUUAGAUUUAAAAUUUUAUUAUUUAUUAUUUGGUUGGGGUGAUAUAAGAAUAGAAAAACUUCUUUUAAUUUUUACAAAGAUUAUUGGAUUUAUGAUCCUUUAUUAAGGAAUAAAAGAUUAAAAUACCUUAGGGAUAACAGCGUAAUUUUAUUUGAGAGUUCUAAUCGAAAAUAGAGAUUGCGACCUCGAUGUUGGAUUAAGAAUAUUAUUUGGUGCAGUAAUUAAAUUAAUAAGUCUGUUC
rnacentral:rRNA from 1 species